rnacentral:tRNA from 1 species
UCGUUAGCUCAGCUGGUAGAGCAGAGGACUUUUAAUCCUUUGGUCGUGAGUUCGAAUCUCGCACGAC